GGUCGAGUGGUGUAGUGGUUAUCACGUCUGCCUCACACUAUCAUAAUAGUGUACGCAGAAGGUCUCGAGUUCAAUCCUCGGUUCGACCU